rfam:Azospirillum sp. B510 plasmid pAB510a DNA, complete genome.
GAUCAAGCGUCUGAAGGGCAUCUGGUGGAUGCCUUGGCACUGAGAGGCGAUGAAGGACGUAGCACGUUGCGAUAAGUCACGGGGAGCCGCGAGCAGGCAUUGAUCCGUGAAUUUCCGAAUGGGGCAACCCACCGCGCAAGCGGUAUCCCAUGCUGAAUAAAUAGGUAUGGGAAGCGAACCCGGCGAACUGAAACAUCUAAGUAGCCGGAGGAAAGGACAUCAACCGAGACUCCGCUAGUAGUGGCGAGCGAACGCGGACCAGGCCAGCCAUCUUGUCUACAUAACCGGAACCGUCUGGAAAGUCGGACCACAGUGGGUGAUAGUCCCGUAUGGAUAAACCGGACGAGAUGCACGAGUAGGGCGGGGCACGUGAAACCCUGUCUGAACAUGGGGGGACCACCCUCCAAGCCUAAGUACUCCUCAGUGACCGAUAGUGCACCAGUACCGUGAGGGAAAGGUGAAAAGCACCCCGACAAGGGGAGUGAAACAGUUCCUGAAACCGGAUGCCUACAAGCAGUCGGAGCCUCUUCAUGGGGUGACGGCGUACCUUUUGUAUAAUGGGUCAGCGACUUAGAGUAUGCAGCGAGCUUAAGCCGGUAGGUGGAGGCGCAGCGAAAGCGAGUCUGAAUAGGGCGCCCGAGUUGCAUGCUUUAGACCCGAAACCUGAUGAUCUAGCCAUGGGCAGGUUGAAGGUGCGGUAACACGCACUGGAGGACCGAACUCACGCCUGUUGAAAAAGUCGGAGAUGACCUGUGGCUAGGGGUGAAAGGCCAAUCAAAUCAGGAAAUAGCUGGUUCUCCGCGAAAGCUAUUUAGGUAGCGCGUCGGGUAUUGCCGCGGGGGGUAGAGCACUGGAUGGGCUAGGGGGGCGCGAGCCUUACCAAACCUAACCAAACUCCGAAUACCCGUGAGCAGAGCGCGGCAGACAGACGGUGGGUGCUAAGGUCCAUCGUCGAGAGGGAAACAGCCCAGACCGCCAGCUAAGGUCCCCAAAUCACGGCUAAGUGGGAAAGGAUGUGGGAAGGCCAUGACAACCAGGAGGUUGGCUUAGAAGCAGCCAUCCUUUAAAGAAAGCGUAAUAGCUCACUGGUCUAGUUAAGCCGGCCUGCGCCGAAAAUGUAUCGGGGCUCAAGCCGUGUACCGAAGCUGCGGAUGUGAUCUUUGAUCACGUGGUAGCGGAGCGUUCCGUAAGCCUGCGAAGGGUGUCCGUGAGGCCGCCUGGAGGUAUCGGAAGUGAGAAUGCUGACAUGAGUAGCGACAAACAGUGUGAGAAACACUGUCGCCGAAAGUCCAAGGGUUCCUGCGCAAGGUUAAUCCACGCAGGGUGAGCCGGCCCCUAAGGCGAGGCCGAAAGGCGUAGUCGAUGGGAACCACGUUAAUAUUCGUGGGCCUGGCGGAGGUGACGGAUGGGAAAGCGUGUACGAUCUUAUCGGAUUGAUCGUGCUGUGGACCUGUUCCAGGAAACAGCCCCGCCAUACAGACCGUACCCCAAACCGACACAGGUGGACUGGUAGAGUAUACCCAGGCGCUUGAGAGAAUGGUGUUGAAGGAACUCGGCAAAUUGCCCUCGUAACUUCGGAAGAAGAGGGCCCCGUUUUGGCGCAAGCCAAGGCGGGGGGCACAGACCAGGGGGUAGCGACUGUUUACUAAAAACACAGGGCUCUGCGAAGCCACACAAGGCGACGUAUAGGGUCUGACGCCUGCCCGGUGCCGGAAGGUUAAGAGGAGAGGUGCAAGCCUUGAAUUGAAGCCCCGGUAAACGGCGGCCGUAACUAUAACGGUCCUAAGGUAGCGAAAUUCCUUGUCGGGUAAGUUCCGACCUGCACGAAUGGCGUAACGACUUCCCCGCUGUCUCCAACACCAACUCAGCGAAAUUGAACUCUCCGUGAAGAUGCGGAGUUCCCGCGGUCAGACGGAAAGACCCCGUGCACCUUUACUACAGCUUUGCAGUGGUGCUAGGGACUUCAUGUGUAGGAUAGGUGGGAGGCUUGGAAGCCUGGGCGCCAGCCCGGGUGGAGCCAACCUUGAAAUACCACCCUUGAAGUCUCUGGCAUCUAACCGUGGCCCGUGAUCCGGGUCCGGGACCCUGCAUGGCGGGUAGUUUGACUGGGGCGGUCGCCUCCCAAAGUGUAACGGAGGCGCGCGAUGGUGGGCUCAGAGCGGUCGGAAAUCGCUCGUCGAGUGCAAUGGCAUAAGCCCGCCUGACUGCAAGACUGACAAGUCGAGCAGAGACGAAAGUCGGCCAUAGUGAUCCGGUGGCUCCACGUGGACGGGCCAUCGCUCAACGGAUAAAAGGUACGCCGGGGAUAACAGGCUGAUGACUCCCAAGAGUCCAUAUCGACGGAGUCGUUUGGCACCUCGAUGUCGGCUCAUCACAUCCUGGGGCUGGAGCAGGUCCCAAGGGUUCGGCUGUUCGCCGAUUAAAGUGGUACGUGAGCUGGGUUUAGAACGUCGUGAGACAGUUCGGUCCCUAUCUGCCGUGGGUGUCGGAGUUUUGCGAGGAUCUGUCCCUAGUACGAGAGGACCGGGAUGGACAUACCUCUGGUGCACCGGUUGUCACGCCAGUGGCAUGGCCGGGUAGCUAAGUAUGGACGGGAUAACCGCUGAAAGCAUCUAAGCGGGAAACCCACCUCUAAACCAGAGCUCCCUUGAGAGCCGUGACAGACCAUCACGUCGAUAGGAGGCAUGUGGAAGGGCGGCGACGCCUGAAGCUAAGCCUUACUAAUCGCUCGAUCGGCUUGAUCCC